rnacentral:rRNA from 1 species
GAUGAACGCUGGCGGCGUGCCUAAUACAUGCAAGUCGAGCGAACGGACGAGAAGCUUGCUUCUCUGAUGUUAGCGGCGGACGGGUGUGUAACACGUGGAUAACCUACCUAUCAGACUGGGAUAACUUCGGGAAACCGGAGCUAAUACCGGAUAAUAUUUUGAACCGCAUUGUUCAAAAGUGAAAGACGGUCUUGCUGUCACUUAUAGAUGGAUCCGCGCUGCAUUAGCUAGUUGGUAAGGUAACGGCUUACCAAGGCAACGAUGCAUAGCCGACCUGAGAGAGUGAUCGGCCACACUGGAACUGAAACACGGUCCAGACUACUACGGGAGGCAGCAGUAGGGAAUCUGACGCAAUGGGCGAAAGCCUGACGGAGCAACGCCGCGUGAGUGAUGAAGGUCUUCGGAUCGUAAAGCUCUGUUAUUAGGGAAGAACAUAUGUGUAAGUAACUGUGCACAUCUUGACGGUACCUAAUCAGGAAGCCACGGCUAACUACGUG